rnacentral:lncRNA from 1 species
UUGUUCUAAGGUAAUAAAUCCUAUAAUUGCUGUAUCCUCAGAACCCAGCACGGGGCACUGCAUACGGUAGAUCUGCUUAACCAUGUACCAAAUGCAUCCGCCUCUUCCCCAACAUCCAUUACUACUGGAACCCACCAAGAACUGAAUUCCAUGGUACUUCUCAGGAUUCUUGAGGUCUGGACUAAGCCCUGGAUUGGGAAAGACGUGUUUAUGAUGCAGACCAGUUGGGGAGAUUUUUCUUGAAGGAGCAGCAGCUUGGGAAUAGCUGACCUGCACCUGUCAUUCUGGAUAAGGAUAGCAUGUUCAUAAAAGGGAAAUGAGUGGAGAAGGAGGGAAGGAGUUGUGAGCAAAGCAUUUAAAGCGUUGCCAGAAUAUAAGCAACAGUGCUUCAUGUCGUGAAAAACUGAGAAAAGGAGUCUUUAUGUACAGGAAGAACUCAGCAGCUGACCUCAAGAAGAAAGGAAAACAUCCUCUCUUCACUUUUCUCUGGGAUGCCUGUGCCCAGGGUCUUGAGUUUCCGACUGGGGCAUAAUGGAUUUUUGGUGGCCUGUGACUUUAUUAUGGGUCUUUUCCCAAAGUGUUUUGAAAUGAUUUUAUCCAACAUGGAUGUCUUGAUCCAAGAGAAAAAAAGGGAUCCCUUCAAAGUCCUUUCCCCAGUUUCCUGCUUAGUCCCACUCCUAGAGCCCUAGGGGGUUCUGUAGCUCCUCUAUAUUUUCAGGGAACUGAGCUGAAGCCAAUACGAGAUUUUAAAAGAUACCCUAUCCUUAAGCAAAGUGCAGAUCCUGAGACUCAGAGAGGUUAAGAAACUCGCCCAACGCCACACAGCUAGAUAAACACCUCAGGAUUUAAAUAGAUUGCAGGGGACACCAACAAGGCUCUGCUCAGAUCCCCUCAGAUCCCUCUGGCCCAUCUGUGCAUGCAGUAACAUCUGCUUCACCGUUGACUGCUUGAACCUGUGGAUCCACUUCACCUAAGAGCACAGAGAGCUGAAAGGGCCUGGAAUCCUGUUGCCUCCCGGGCAGCCUGCAGCCAAUGAGUAACUGGUGCUGGAAAACAGAAGGCUGCUCCCUUGCUGGAGGUAGGACAAACACUGAGGUGUAAUCUAUGCUCCAGGGUCCCCCAGGGGAUCAGGCUGAGGUUGGGACUUUGCCUAAAAUCCCACCCUUGCUUGGUUUCUUCCCUUUCCCUGUUUUUCCUUCUUCUCUCACUCUCUCAUUUCUGUUCCUUCUUCCUUAAAUAAAUCUCCUGCACACAAAUUCUCAUCUCAAGGUGUGCCUCUGGGCAGCCUGAUGUGAGAUACAGAUGUGUGUUUGACCUCAGCCUGCCCUUUCUGGAGUCCUGCAGCCUCGCCCCUUGUUUUGUGGGGUUAUCAGAUCUCGCUACGUAGACUCGGGGUACGGAAUACAUCCAGCUUGGAAUUUCUGGGUGCUCGCAAGUUCUCAGUAGAACGCUCUUGGAAUGAAUUACUUAGCCUCUUUAGGCUGCAGUUUCAUCACCUAUAAGACAGAAAUAGUAAUUGUAUUGCUCUUAAAGGACUUUUACUUUGUGGAAAGCCAAUGAGUCUGCAUAUGUAGAACACAGCAGCGAGCACAUAGUAAGUGGUCGAUAAAUCUUCAUGAUUAUGAUUAUCAGUAUUCAAGUAUUUGCCAUCUCGUCAGACCUUGGCUUGUAGUUGGGAGUCAGAAAUGAGGUCACUGUGCUGUGAGUUCUUGUUGGGCAGGAAUCUGCCAUGUGUUCCGUGCACUUUAAGCACUUAUUAAAACAUUUCGGAUAGAAACAUUUUCACAAAGGCUGCUCAUUACUGUAGCCAGCAUUUGCCUACGAAUGUCAGGAAAACCAUUUUAUGAUGUUGCUGUAAUGUGUCGUGUUCACUGUCGCAUUCUCUCUUUCGGUCUCCCUUUCACUGGUGAGACACGUUUGCCAAGCAUUUCACAAAUGCAGUGGGGGGAAAAGGGAAGAGAGGAAGAGAUGGGAAAAGGAUAGUGAAGGGAGGAGCAGGAGCAGGCAGCUCGGCGGCAUUCCCCAGGCACCGCAUUAAGGGCCUGAUUAACUUAAAAUAUUUCCCAGCUUCUGAGGCACUUGAUUAAAGUCAAUUGGGGGGAAAGAAGAUAAGCUCUUACAAGGGCUAAUUUGAGGCUUAGAAAACUUGAAUAUGUCUAAAUCUCAAAUUGUCGGGUGUGUAGCGCUGGUGAUUGUCGGGUCUGUGGGGAGAGCGUUUUAACAUGCUGGCGGUGCAUCCGCGGUACCACCUGUCCCAGCUCCCUGGUCCCCACCCUUCCUCCAGGCAACUGCCUUGCGUCCCCUCCCAUCUUCCCUUUUCUUCCGCUUGUGAGGGCUUAGACGAUUUUGCCUUUUGAAGGCACGGAAAUAGAUGGCUUUACAUUCAGAACACAGCCUCUGCCUCCUUCUU